AGGCAGAGGUUUCAACGAUGGCUUCUGUGUGUUGUAUAUAUGGAAGACGUCAGGACAUAGAUGCCUCAGAUUCAGAGCUUUCAAUAGGACCUGGAUUUUGUUUCACCCUUCUUUUUUCUGCACUGCAGUGCUCAAGUCUCCUGGAACAGAUGGAAUUGCGCUGCCAGCUAGCUUGGUUUUGGGCUUAAAACUCUUGUUUAAUUCAGAGAGGUUUUUUAAGUAUCACUAUGUGAAGCAAUCAAUUAUUUUGUUCUUCUCGAGUUCAAGGGGUGCUGAUCUUUUUGUGAGAUUGAUGCUAUAGAUUUCAUAAUCAUAUUUUCCAAAAUUUGUGAUGGAAUUCUUGCUGUAGUUCCUUAAUCGUCUGAAAGAUUCUAAUCAAUGCAUGGAACAACACUUGCAAGUUA